GCCGGAGUGGCGGAAUGGUAGACGCAGCUGACUCAAAAUCAGCCGACGCAAGUCGUGGGGGUUCGAGUCCCUUCUCCGGCA
rnacentral:tRNA from 1 species